AAACUUACCUGGCAGGGAGACACCAUAAUAACCAUAAUCAAGGAGGUGAUUUUCCCAGGGGGAGGCUCAACCAUGACCCUUGGGAUGUGCUGACCCCUGCUAUUUCCCCAAAUAUGAGAAAUUUGAUUAUAGAAUUUGUGAUAAUAGGGGACUGUGUUUAUACUCUCCCCUA